GACGAACGCUGGCGGCGUGCCUAAUACAUGCAAGUCGAACGCUUCUUUCCUCCCGAGUGCUUGCCCUCAAUUGGAAAGAGGAGUGGCGGACGGGUGAGUAACACGUGGGUAACCUACCCAUCAGAGGGGGAUAACACUUGGAAACAGGUGCUAAUACCGCAUAACAGUUUAUGCCGCAUGGCAUAAGAGUGAAAGGCGCUUUCGGGUGUCGUUGAUGGAUGGACCCGCGGUGCAUUAGCUAGUUGGUGAGGUAACGGCUCACCAAGGCCACGAUGCAUAGCCGACCUGAGAGGGUGAUCGGCCACACUGGGACUGAGACACGGCCCAGACUCCUACGGGAGGCAGCAGUAGGGAAUCUUCGGCAAUGGACGAAAGUCUGACCGAGCAACGCCGCGUGAGUGAAGAAGGUUUUCGGAUCGUAAAACUCUGUUGUUAGAGAAGAACAAGGACGUUAGUAACUGAACGUCCCCUGACGGUAGCUAAACAGAAAGCCACGGCUAACUACGUG
rnacentral:rRNA from 1 species